AGACAAAGUUAGAGAGGCGAGAUUGAGAUGACUUGGACAUGUGCAGAUGAGAGACCCAGGGUAUAUAAGGAGAGGGAUGCUGAGGAUGGAGCCACCUGGCAGGAGGAGAAUAGGGAGCCCAAAGAGGAGGUUUAAGGAUGUCCUGAGGGAGGACAUGCAGGUGGUUGUGUGACAGAGGAAGAUACAGAGGACAAGGUGAGAUGGAAAUGGUUGAUGUGUUGUGGUGAACCCA